CCGUUAAUGAUUUUAGGUGCUUGCACUUGAAAGAUUUAACAUUGAGACGAGUGGCGAACUGGUGAGUAACACGUGGGUAACCUGCCCUUGAAGUAGGGGAUAACACUUGGAAACAGGUGCUAAUACCGUAUAACAACCAAAACCACCUGGUUUUGGUUUAAAAGACGGCUUCGGCUGUCACUUUAGGAUGGACCCGCGGCGUAUUAGCUUGUUGGUAAGGUAACGGCCUACCAAGGCGAUGAUACGUAGCCGACCUGAGAGGGUAAUCGGCCACAUUGGGACUGAGACACGGCCCAAACUCCUACGGGAGGCAGCAGUAGGGAAUCUUCCACAAUGGACGAAAGUCUGAUGGAGCAACGCCGCGUGAGUGAUGAAGGGUUUCGGCUCGUAAAACUCUGUUGUUGGAGAAGAACAGGUGUCAGAGUAACUGUUGACAUCUUGACGGUAUCCAACCAGAAAGCCACGGCUAACUACGUGCCAGCAGCCGCGGUAAUACGUAGGUGGCAAGCGUUGUCCGGAUUUAUUGGGCGUAAAGCGAGCGCAGGCGGUUUUUUAGGUCUGAUGUGAAAGCCUUCGGCUUAACCGGAGAAGUGCAUCGGAAACCGGGAGACUUGAGUGCAGAAGAGGACAGUGGAACUCCAUGUGUAGCGGUGAAAUGCGUAGAUAUAUGGAAGAACACCAGUGGCGAAGGCGGCUGUCUGGUCUGUAACUGACGCUGAGGCUCGAAA
rnacentral:rRNA from 1 species